GCGGCUGACGCGCUCGCGAGCCCGGCCCGCCGGGAUACUUCUCCGAUGCUGUCACCGCCUUUAAAACACAGGGAGAGCGAACAUGCACCGGGAGGAAACGCGCGUCCUCCUACAGGCGAAGCUGCCUCCGCGCGCCGCACAGCCGCGGGCCUCCCCCGCCCCGGCACCCGGCUGCUGGCUGCGCGAGGGGGCUCCCCGGCCGGACGGGGCUGGGGGCGUUAUGUUUGGGAAGGACGCUGCCACCUCCCGACCCGGCGUCCGCGAAAGGGUCCUCAGGCAUCGCCUGGACCACACAACCGUCGGUUUAAUGCAAGACUUCUAAAUAUACAACCUUAGACAGAACAAGCCAGCCCCGCUACUCCCAUUCUACCUUUGGGAGCACAUACAUGCACACACCUGCUCGAAGAAAUAAUUCAGAAACCCCCUCAGACCUCACGCCUCACCCUGCCUUACACCUGUGCUGUAAAGGCCAAACCGACAUUCAUUCUUGUCAGGUACACCGGCGCCCCCUGCUGGACUACAGCACCCUUGACUCUCUGGAGACUCCCCACAAGGGAAAGAGUGGAAAGGGAAAGAGAGAGGGAAAGAUUAAGAAGGUCAUUUGAGGUGGGCGGCUUCUGUUGUGAAAAGAGAAAACUGCGGGAAGAGUCUGCCAAUACACCAACCCUCCUCCAGCUCCCAACAUCUCUGCGCAGAGCUCAGCCCUAAACAGGCCCAUCUCACUGAUGAGGGUCAGGAUGUGGGGUCAGGAUAUCCCCAAGGCAGGGUCGGGAGGCCUCAAGGACAACCCUUAAAAAUCUCAGCUCAGCCCUGCUGCCCCAGAGCCACACAUUUCUUAAGCAGAAGCUCUGAUGAUAAACUGGCUCCAGUUUUGAAAAGAGAUCUUGGUGACUGGUGUGGCAUUUCCAAGCUCCAGGGCAAAGAAACCACACGGAGGACAGCCACGGAGCCCACUCAACAGUGAGCACCCAGCCCUCGGGGGCACAUCCUCUGGUACCCACAGUCACAAAGAAGAAGCCCGCAAGAAAUGUUUUUGUUUUUGUUUUUGUUUGCGGUACCAGGGAUUGAACUCACAACCUUGCGCUUGCCAGGCAGGUGCUUAAGCUACUGGGCUAUAUUCCCAACCCUACAAAAUGAUAUGGGUCAGAACUUUGCUGAUUUCCUGUUCAAGGGAAGAAUGCAGUUAUUCAUGGAUCGCUUUGGUUAAUGAAGGUAAUUAAAAUCUCCCCAUCUCUCCUCCUCCCCACCUCCAUGGUUCAUUUAUGGAUUUUUUUUUUUUUUUAAAUUUUGGUUAAGCUGCAUGACUAUCAUUUUCCCCAGACUAGAAACAUUUAGAAAGAUUCUCCUAAGAGUGAAAUGUCUGAUGAACAUCAAGAAGUGUCUCUUCCAUGGAGACUGCCCAGGAUCACUCCAGAAAACCAGGAGCUCAGGUGGCCCCCAGUGCAAUCCUUCUCACAUCCGGGGUCCCCCAGCCUCCACUUCCCUGAUUAGCAAACCUCUCAGCUGCUGUCAAAGCCACUUCCAACCCUAGGGUUUCUGGGACUGAGUGGAAAGUCGAGAGGGAAGCUGUCUUUCCAUAUUAGCAACAUUGCUUAGCAACAACAUCCUUCAAAGCAAGAACCAGCAGACUCUCCAAAAACCUAUUCUGUUUGGCUGUACAAAGAACAGAGUGGUUUCUCAUACAUGUAUUAUUUAUAUACUAUUUUAUAUGCCCAGUAAUGUGGUCUGUGCCUGGUUUCUUUGGGAGAUGACGAAUUACACUCCUGUGAGAUUUGCAGAUAACUAGAGCUUUGAGUAGCGAAACUUUGCACGUGCUUGCUUGCUAGCUUGCUGUUAUUGUAAUGACCUUGGUUAGAAAUUUCCUUAGAAUGUCUUACACAGUGUUCUUUUCUCAAAGACAGGUUUUGGUGUAACCUUUUCCGGGUAACUCAGAACCAUUAUUAUCAAUAUCAACUACUGUAGUGAGCUAAAAUGCAGUUUUAAACUGACAGGCUACUGAGGUGAGAGACCCAUUUGUCCUUCCAUUUAAUUGCGUGCAAGAGCUGUAUAGAAAACAUUGCCGUGGGGCUGGGGAUAUAGCUCAGUGGCAUAAGCGCCUGCCUGGCAAGUGCAAGGUCCUGAGUUCUAUCCCCAGUACCAAAAAAAAAAAAAAAAAGUUAAAGAAAACAUUGCCGUGAGGAAACAAAACCACAAACCCUGUAGAUAGGCAAGCCUCAGUUAGAAUCCCACUCCCAGUUUUCACUCCCAUGUAGCCUCAGGCUAAGAAUUAACCUCUUUGUGCCUCAGAAUCUUCAUCUGUAAAGUGGGGAUAACAGUAGUGUCAUCCUCCCAGGGUUAAUAUUGUGAAAGGUUCCUCCCCCCCAUACUGGAGAUGGAAUCCAAGGACACUCUACUACUUAGUUAUAUCCCUACCCCUUUUUACUUAUAUUAUGAGACAGGAACUUGCUAAAUUGCCCAGGGCUAGCCUCAAGCUUACAAUCCUCCUGCCUCUGCCUCCUCAGUAGCUGAGACUACAGGUGUGUGACACCAUGCCCAGCUAGUUGCAAGGAUUGAAUAACCAUACAUGGUUCACGUAAAGACUGUAUGAAAACAUGCACAACAGUUUUACUCAAAAUAUCCAGUCUGAAAACAGUGUCCAUCCACAAACUGUGGUACAUCUAGCCAGUGAAAUACUAUUCAUCAUAAAAACGACUAAAAUACUAAUAUAUACAGUAUCAUGCGUGGAUUUCAAAAACAUUAUCCUCAGUAAAAGAAGCCAGAUCUAAAACAUACCUCCUGUUAUGAUUCCAUUCACAAGAAAAUUUAAAACAACCUAAGGUACAAAAGAAUUAGAACAGUGGCUGCCUCUAGUCUUAGAAGAUUUUUCUGUAUUAUUUCUGGCUAGAAGGAAAUAUUCUGUAUCAGGAUGAAGUGAAGGGUUCACUUGGUCAAAAUGUAGAAUUAAAACUUGGUGCAUUUCGAUGCAUGUAAAUUUUACUUUAAAAGAGUUGAAACUAGUAAUAAGAGUACCAGUAAUAGUAGAGUGGGGGCGUGGACUGGGUAGAGGGAUAGAUGAAACAAGAAUGGCAGAAUUGUGGGGCUUGUUGAAGCUGGGGACAGGGAAUUUAUUACACUAUUUACUUUGCGUGCAGGGGAAUUUCCAUAAUAAAAAAAUAAAAUGUUCCUAGUGGGAGUAAAAUGGUUAAUAGUGAUUAUCCUGGGAAUUAUGACUGUUAUUUUCUUCGUAUUUUUCUUCCAUUUAUAAAUUUUAUGUAAGGACUAUGUAUUAAUUUUGCAAAUAAAUGAAAAAAAAAUAGGGGCUGGGAAUGCAGCUUAGCGGUAGAGCACUUGCCUAGCAUGCAGGGGGCUCUGGGUUCGCUUUCCAGCAUAACAAAGAAUAAAAUAAAAAUAAAAAGAUAAAUACUGCCAGGUGUGGUGGCACAUGCCUGUAAUCCCAGCAUUCAGGAAGCUAAGCUAGGAGUUUGAGGCCAGCCUGAACUACAAAGAGAGACCCUGUCUCAAAAAAA
rnacentral:lncRNA from 1 species